GGACGGGUGAGUAAUGUCUGGGAAACUGCCUGAUGGAGGGGGACAACUACUGGAAACGGUAGCUAAUACCGCAUAACGUCGCAAGACCAAAGAGGGGGACCUUCGGGCCUCUUGCCAUCGGAUGUGCCCAGAUGGGAUUAGCUAGUAGGUGGGGUAACGGCUCACCUAGGCGACGAUCCCUAGCUGGUCUGAGAGGAUGACCAGCCACACUGGAACUGAGACACGGUCCAGACUCCUACGGGAGGCAGCAUG
rnacentral:rRNA from 1 species